UCCGUGUUCUCUGGCGCGGUCCCAAAUCAGACUUCAUCUGGUGCAGCAGAGCGUGAUAUGAAUCCCACAGGGUCUGGCUUGGGGCCUGCUCUGAGAUCUGUAACAGCGAUGUUUACACCACGGCGCUUUUCUCUUCCUGUGUCACCUGGACAGGCUGAACCAACACCUAAUCGUCAACAACCAGAUAUGGCUGCAAUGUCCCAGGCUCCAGAACCAUCGACGAAGAUAAACAAAUGACUCUGUCUCAGGUUUCCCAGGUGCUCAGAGUCUACAGGAGUCAGAUCCACAGAGCUGCAGGCACCUGACCACAUGGGUACUGGGGGAGAAACCUGGCAUCAUCACUCUUAACUGCUGAGGCAUCUCUGAGGCCAUCUUCUUACAGGUAUCAGAGGAAGGAUGUUUCACAGUCCUAGCCUGCAGUCAGGCUGUCCCUAAUUGCCGGGUGGCAGGGAGAGAAGAGGAAAUUCCAGAGAAGGAAUUUCAGAGGAUGUGGGAGACGUAGAGAGGAUGACCCGUCUAGUUGAGGUGUGCCCAUUGUGUGGAUGGUGAUGUGCCACCU